UUGUCACCAUGGGCCAUGGCCCUGCCUGGUAUUACUGGUACUGUAAAAACAAGCCAUACCCAAAGUCUCCUUUCUGCCAGGGUGUCCCUGAUGCCAAAUCCGCAUCUUUGACCUUGGGCGGAAAAAGGCACAAGUGGAUGAGUUCCCACUCUGUGGCCACAUGAUGUCUGAUGAAUAUGUGCAGCUAUCCUCUGAAGUCUUGGAGACUGCUUGUAUUUGUGACAACAAGUACGUGAUAAAAAGUUGUGGCAGAGAUGGCUUUCAUAUCUGAGUGCGGCUCCACCCUUUCCAUGUUAUCCAUAUCAACAAGAUGUUGUCCUGUGCUGGGGCUGACAGGCUCCAAACAGGUAUGUGAGGUGCCAUGGGAAAUCCCAGGGAACAGCGGCCAGGGUUCACAGUGGCCAAGUCAUCAUGUCCAUCCAUACCAAGCUGCAGAACAAGGAACAUGUGAUUGAGGCCCUACACAGGGCCAAGUUCAAGAUCCCUGGCUGCCAGAAGAUCCAAAUCUCAAAGAAGUGGGGCUUUACCAAAUUUAAUGGAUGACGAAUUUGAAGACAUGGUGGCUGAGAAGCGGCUCAUUCCUGAUGGCUGUGGGGUCAAAUAUAUCCCCAAUCGUGGUCCCAUGGACAAGUAGCGGGCCCUGCAUUCAUGAGGGCUUUCACUGGGCUGUCCUC
rnacentral:lncRNA from 1 species